rnacentral:rRNA from 1 species
CCGCAUAAGCGCACAGCAUCGCAUGAUGCAGUGUGAAAAACUCCGGUGGUAUAAGAUGGACCCGCGUUGGAUUAGCUAGUUGGUGAGGUAACGGCCCACCAAGGCGACGAUCCAUAGCCGACCUGAGAGGGUGACCGGCCACAUUGGGACUGAGACACGGCCCAAACUCCUACGGGAGGCAGCAGUGGGGAAUAUUGCACAAUGGGCGAAAGCCUGAUGCAGCGACGCCGCGUGAGCGAAGAAGUAUUUCGGUAUGUAAAGCUCUAUCAGCAGGGAAGAUAAUGACGGUACCUGACUAAGAAGCACCGGCCAAAUACGUGCCAGCAGCCGCGGUAAUACGUAUGGUGCAAGCGUUAUCCGGAUUUACUGGGUGUAAAGGGAGCGCAGGCGGUGCGGCAAGUCUGAUGUGAAAGCCCGGGGCUCAACCCCGGUACUGCAUUGGAAACUGUCGUACUAGAGUGUCGGAGGGGUAAGCGGAAUUCCUAGUGUAGCGGUGAAAUGCGUAGAUAUUAGGAGGAACACCAGUGGCGAAGGCGGCUUACUGGACGAUAACUGACGCUGAGGCUCGAAAGCGUGGGGAGCAAACAGGAUUAGAUACCCUGGUAGUCCACGCCGU